CACUUCAAAUAGGGGAGGCCAAUCUAAACCUAGAAAUAAUUUCUUUCAGUAAGGCGUUUCUUACUUCAGAGGUCUUCUCUGAUCUACAGGGGAAUGCUUCAACCCAUCCUCUGAGAGCAUCUGCAAAGACCAUCUGCAAAGAGCAUCUGGACCCCUCUGACUUCUGGGUGAGGUCCUGUUUUAGGAUUAUUUCCGGCACAGAUAAUGCAUUUCUGAGUUAUCUUUUGAGCAGUUCUUUGCAUAUGUGGCCCAGUAAUAAUUUCUGCAUCCAUUGGAGAGUGGCAUCCCGUCCAUAACGAGUGCUCUGGUAGAAGGACCUGUUUCCUGCAUCAGGCGUUUUGGGAUCAGAAUGAUCGCCUGUUCAUUGCUAAUCCAUCCAUCUUUCUGGUGAUACAACCCAGCAUAACUCCUGACUGUCCCUGCAAAUUAAGUGCGAUGUGCACCCCUCUGAGCUGCAUGUCAGCCUCCAUGGAAGAUACCAUCGCUGGUAACUGAACUCCUUCAAACAGGAGCCCAGGGCUGCCCGAGUUUACCUGAGGGAAUUCUUCUUGUGAGGAUCACACAGCCUUCACUGCCCUAACCUCAGCUCCUCCACCAUCUGGGAUCUGGACACGGGGCUUUAACUCUUCAGCUACCCUUUGGUGCUUCCUGUGCUUAGGGGCUGGUUAGCUGCUUGGGUAUGAGUCCUCUGUCAGUGACACCAGAGAGAGGCUUGCUGGCAUGGACUGGGACCACCCACCACCAGUCCUGAGCCAGGAACCCAGGUGGGAGAAAAGGAAUGGCUAUAAGGGACCACCGUUCUUACUGCUAAACCAGGAGCUCUCUGCAUGAAGAUGGAAGGAUUACAAACGUUGCCUUCAAACUGGGACGGGACUUCAAGUCAUUUACUACAACUUCCCCAUCUUACGGAUGAGGAAACUGAGGGCUAGAGUGGUGACGUGGUUUUCCCAACUGGCUCACAGCAGCCUUGCAAAUCGAGGCCCAGGUCCUCUUCUUCACACCAAGUAGUAAAAGCACAUUGUUGGUUGGGUGUCAUUCCGUGCACUGAAAGGUUGCUGGUUCGAUUC